rnacentral:rRNA from 1 species
GAUGAACGCUGGCGGCGUGCCUAAUACAUGCAAGUCGAGCGAACGGACGAGAAGCUUGCUUUUCUGAUGUUAGCGGCGGACGGGUGAGUAACACGUGGAUAACCUAUCUAUAAGACUGGGAUAACUUCGGGAAACCGGAGCUAAUACCGGUUAAUAUUUUGAACCGCAUGGUUCAAAAGUGAAAGACGGUCUUGCUGUCACUUAUAGAUGGAUCCGCGCUGCAUUAGCUAGUUGGUAAGGUAACGGCUUACCAAGGCAACGAUGCAUAGCCGACCUGAGAGAGUGAUCGGCCACACGAGAACUGGAACACGGACCAUACUCCUGCGAGAGGCAGCAGUAGGCAAUCGUCCGCAGUGGGCGAAAGCCUUACGGAGCAACGCCGCGUGAGUGAUGAAGAUCUUCGGAGCGUAAAGCUCUGUUAUUAGUGAUGAACAUAUGUGUAAGUAACUGUGCACAACUUGACGGUACCUGAACAGAAAGCCACGGCUAACUACGUG